UAAGGAAUAUUGGACAAUGGUCGCAAGACUGAUCCAGCCAUGCCGCGUGCAGGAAGACGGCCCUAUGGGUUGUAAACUGCUUUUGUACCAGAGAAAACCUAUCUACGUGUAGAUAGCUGAUAGUAUGGUCAGAAUAAGCAUCGGCUAACUUCGUGCCAGCAGCCGCGGUAAGACGAAGGAUGCAAGCGUUAUCCGGAUUCAUUGGGUUUAAAGGGUGCGUAGGCGGGCUUGUAAGUCAGUGGUGAAAUCUCUCAGCUUAACUGAGAAACUGCCAUUGAUACGGCAGGCGUAGAGUAUAGAUGACGUUGGCGGAAGAUGACAUGUAGGGGUGAGAUACUUAGAUAUGUCAUAGAACACCCAUUGCAAAGGCAGGUAGCGGAACUAUAACUGACGCCGAGGCACGAAAGUGCAGGGAUCAAACA
rnacentral:rRNA from 1 species